AUGAACGCUGGCGGCGUGCUUAACACAUGCAAGUCGAACGAUUAAACUGGCUUCGGCCAGAUAUAGAGUGGCGAACGGGUGAGUAACACGUGACCAACCUGCCCCGCGCUCCGGGACAACCGCUGGAAACGGCGGCUAAUACCGGAUGCUCCGGGGAGGCCCCAUGGCCUCCCCGGGAAAGCCUUAACGGCGCGGGAUGGGGUCGCGGCCCAUUAGGUAGACGGCGGGGUAACGGCCCACCGUGCCCGCGAUGGGUAGCCGGACUGAGAGGUCGACCGGCCACAUUGGGACUGAGAUACGGCCCAGACUCCUACGGGAGGCAGCAGUGGGGAAUUUUGCGCAAUGGGGGCAACCCUGACGCAGCAACGCCGCGUGCGGGACGAAGGCCUUCGGGUUGUAAACCGCUUUCAGCAGGGAAGACUUUGACGGUACCUGCAGAAGAAGCUCCGGCUAACUACGUGCCAGCAGCCGCGGUAAUACGUAGGGGGCGAGCGUUAUCCGGAUUCAUUGGGCGUAAAGCGCGCGUAGGCGGCCGCCUAAGCGGAACCUCUAAUCCCGGGGCUCAACCUCGGGCCGGGUUCCGGACUGGGCGGCUCGAGUGCGGUAGAGGCAGGCGGAAUUCCCGGUGUAGCGGUGGAAUGCGCAGAUAUCGGGAAGAACACCGAUGGCGAAGGCAGCCUGCUGGGCCGCCACUGACGCUGAGGCGCGAAAGCUGGGGGAGCGAACAGGAUUAGAUACCCUGGUAGUCCCAGCCGUAAACGAUGGGCGCUAGGUGUGGGGGGACAGUCCCCCCGUGCCGCAGCCAACGCAUUAAGCGCCCCGCCUGGGGAGUACGGCCGCAAGGCUAAAACUCAAAGGAAUUGACGGGGGCCCGCACAAGCGGUGGAUUAUGUGGUUUAAUUCGAAGCAACGCGAAGAACCUUACCAGGUCUUGACAUUGAUCGCGAUCUGCAGAAAUGCGGAGUUCUUCUUCGGAAGACGAGAAAACAGGUGGUGCACGGCUGUCGUCAGCUCGUGUCGUGAGAUGUUGGGUUAAGUCCCGCAACGAGCGCAACCCCCGUCCCGUGUUGCCAGCAUUGAGUUGGGGACUCGCGGGAGACUGCCGGCGUCAAGCCGGAGGAAGGUGGGGACGACGUCAAGUCAUCAUGCCCCUUAUGCCCUGGGCUGCACACGUGCUACAAUGGCCGGUACAGAGGGUUGCCACCCCGCGAGGGGGAGCGGAUCCCGGAAAGCCGGUCCCAGUUCGGAUCGCAGGCUGCAACCCGCCUGCGUGAAGUCGGAGUUGCUAGUAAUCGCGGAUCAGCAUGCCGCGGUGAAUACGUUCCCGGGCCUUGUACACACCGCCCGUCACACCACCCGAGUCGUCUGCACCCGAAGCCGCCGGCCGAACCCGAAAGGGGCGGAGGCGUCGAAGGUGUGGAGGGUAAGGGGGGUG
rnacentral:rRNA from 1 species